UUGUACGGCACUGACUUUGAAAAAACAUAUUAUGUUGUAUAGUUUUUGCAUAGUCCAUGUGACUUUUUUACUCGUCGCUACACAAAGCACAUCUAUGAUUGUGAAUAUUUCUUCUGGUUUUCUAUUUCGUUUGGUUACUUGUGCAGUCUUUCUCAGUUCAAGUAAUAUAUUUAAUUACGUAUAUCUGAACUCGUGUUGUUUGCGGUUGUUGAGUUUGACGAACAAAUAAAUAAUAUAAAAUCAGUAGAGCUAGUGCCAAUAUCUUUGAUAAGUGACGAUGAAACAAUUUGUUUUCAUCCUCCUACUAAAUAUUUAGCAAAGUUGAUAAAUGGUUUCAGAAUCAACAUAAUCCAGGUGUUUCUUGGGAAUCAUUUUCCAUAAAAAUUAUUGCCAAAGCUAAUUCUACGGCAUACAAAGCUAUCACUGACGAUUUGAAAUUUUUCAUUAAGUAUGAAAUAAAUAAUGCCAAGAGAAGCAUUCUUCAUGAUCUCAACACAAGUAUGGCUGAACUGCAACCAAAAUUUUCGGAACAUCAAGUAAAUUCAUCUAUUGAUCUUAGCGUACCUUCAAGAUAUCCUUUUAAGAACGUAGAAGAAUUUGAACAAUUUGAUGAAGAUUUUAAAAAUAAAGAAGAAAAUCGGAAUGCUAUGCUUAUAUAUUUGCCACAAUUUUCUAAAAAAAUUGUCGUCAUAUAAUGCCAAGUUUGGCAUUUAAUAAAUUUUUAAAUAGAUCUUCGAUUUUUCACGGAAGGAUCGCCAAAUUAUGAAGAGGACAUUACACUUGUAAUAAAAAGCAUGAUUACCAAGGAGGUUCAACUCAAAUAUUGUGCUUGUAGGAAAAUAAAUCCGAGGCUGUGGAUAAAAAAGUUUCAAGGAUACCCAAUUAUUUGAAAUAAUGGAAGGUAAAAAAUCAUUGUUCGAAUAAUUUUUCGUUUCGCUAUUAUUAAUUGAGUUUUCUAAAAAUCGAAAAGUAACUUGGAAAUUUGUUAAAUUAAUAGGUUUCGUAGCAAUCAUUGCCUUAAUAAAUCUAAGUAAACGUAAAAAAUAGAUCUAAAUUUUGUAGUUUUAUUAGUUUUCUAGAAUUUUUGGCUUAAGCUAUUUCCGACCUUAUUAGUGAUCCCAUAAACAAAUUUUAUCAUUAACUGCCUAGAAAAAAUUUUUUUGGUGAAAAUAAAUGCGACGACGUGACGCUGAGGUCACUUUUUUGACCGUACAAAUUUUUCACAUUUUAUCAUUUUGAUUAUAAUCUAAUAGUUCUUAUUGACCAAUGACAGAAAAAGGACCUCCUGAAGUGUCAACGGACAUAUACAAAAGAAAUUUGUAUGGAACGAUCUAAUAAUAGUCAUAAUAGAUUUAUAGAACCUUAAAACGUUCAAAUAUAAGUCGAUUUUCAAAACACGAAGUAAACCAAUAACUUCUGAAUUCUUUGAAAAAUCUAAGUUUUCAUAGCAAAAAAUUAAUAAUCAUUGCUAAAUUAUUAAAAGUAUUUUCUUAAUUGGAGAAAUAUUUGGAGUCGAAAGAAAAACUGUGCAUCGUUACCAAAGUAAACACACACACACACACACACAUACAUAUAUAUAUAUAUAUAUAUAUAUAUAUAUAUAUA